CCUACGGGUGGCUGCAGUGGGGAAUAUUGCACAAUGGGGGAAACCCUGAUGCAGCGACGCCGCGUGAGUGAAGAAGUAUUUCGGUAUGUAACGCUCUAUCAGCAGGGAAGAAAAUGACGGUACCUGACUCCGACGCCCCGGCUAACUACGUGCCAGCCGCCGCGGUAAUACGUAGGGGGCAAGCGUUAUCCGGAUUUACUGGGUGUCAAGGGAGCGUAGACGGCGGAACAAGUCAGAAGUGAAACCCCGGGGCUCAACCCUGGGAGUUCUUUUGAAACUGUUUGGCUGGAGUGCAGGAGAGGUAAGCGGAAUUCCUAGUGUAGCGGGGAAAUGCGUAGAUAUUAGGAGGAACACCAGUGGCGAAGGCGGCUUACUGGACUGUAACUGACGUUGAGGCUCGAAAGCGUGGGGAGCAAACAGGAUUAGAUACCCGAGUAGUC
rnacentral:rRNA from 1 species